AUAUGGCCUUCAGAUGAAAAACCUGAAAACCUAAAAUCCAGUAUGUACAAAAAAGACAAUGUGUACCUUCCUACAUGCUUUAGAAACUUGUGGAUAAGGUUAUUUGAUGACCAGUGAAAGCUAUCUUGAGGUGAAAAAUGCCCUGCAUCUGAGAUUGGAGGACCAGGUAGCUCUUCCACUAUGAUGUUUUAUAGGAGUGGUGAAAAAGGAUAUCCUCACCUUGCUGACAGACAUAGCGGAUACCGAGCAACACGCCCUUGAAUAGUGGAUUCAUCUUCAAGGAGAGAUGGCUCUAACAAUGUAACCGGCUAUUGAAGCAACAGCUGAAGAGGAGGUCAAAUCUCAGAAGCCUGAGGCUAUGAGAAAUCCUGGCUAAGACUCCAUUUGGAGAUCCUUGGUUCCAAGGUAUUCUGUGCACAUGUCAGUGCUUUCUGGUCCAAGAGAGAAAGUGUUUCCAGUACGGCUCUUACAGAGGAAGGCAGUUGGAAGUCACAUCUGGCUUCUUGGGACCCCUUGCUGCCAGACAGCCUUUGGCAGGUUAGCUUUAGUUCUGCCUCACAACAUGUUCACUCCAGGACCCAGGCUGAAGGGGAAGCCCAAUCCACACAUCCAGGCCUCAUGGCAAGAGGAAGAGAAAGAUGCGCAGAACCAUGCAAUAGCUCUGAAAGCUUCUGGUGGAAAGAGGUAUGUGCCACUUCUGUUCAUAUUUCAUUUUCAAACAGUUACAAGGUCUACUCUUCUAUCAUAUAGAUCAAAGAAAGAUAACCUUCCUACUGGGAGAAGCAGUAAAUACCUUCAACAAAACUAAAUCUGACAUACCAUUAUUCAUAGAUAAGGCAUUUUUAUUUAAUCAUUGACUGUGACAGUGACAUAUGAUGGAUGUUUGGAAUACAAUAAAAUAUGCAACUAUCCCCUUUUAAUUACUAAGGACCUUCAAGUCAUAUCACCCUUGCUAGUAGGUAAACAAGUAUAGAGGACACACACAGAUAACUUGGUCUCUCUGACUCCAGUCUCAUCCUCCUCCAAUCUUGCUAUAAGCACUUUUUAUUGUUGCACAACAAAUUACCACAAAGUUAAGCAACUCAGGAUAAUACCCAUUAAUUAUCUCACAGUUCUGUAGGUCAAAAGUCUUGAUGGGUCCAGCAGGGUCCUCCACUUAGCAUUUCACAGGUCAAAAUCAAGAUGUUGGCCAGCUGAGCUCUUACCAGAAGCCUCCGGAAGUAAUCCAUUUCCAAGAUACUCAAGUUAUUAGCAGAAUCCAGUUCUUUGCAGUUAAAGGACUGAGGUCACCAUUUCCUUGCUAGCUGUCAGUCAGGAAUUCUCCUUUAGCUCUCUGGAGUUACCCACAUUUUCUCACUUCAUCCUCUCCAUCUUCAAAACAAGCAACAGCACAGGGAGUCCUUCACAUGCUUCAGAUCUUUCUGACUUCCUCUUCUGACACCAGCUAGAGGAAACUGUGCUUUUAAAGACCCAUGUGAUUAAUCAGCAAAACUAAAAGGCA